rnacentral:rRNA from 1 species
GACGAACGCUGGCGGCAUGCCUAACACAUGCAAGUCGAACGAGACCUUCGGGUCUAGUUGCGCACGGGUGCGUAACACGUGGUAACCUGCCCUUAGGUUCGGAAUAACUCCCCGAAGGGGGUCCUAAUACCGGUUAAUGUCUUCGCACCAAAGAUGUAUCGCCUUUGGGUGGGCGCGGGUUGGAUUAGCGAGUUGGUAGGGGAAAAGCCUACCAAGGCCACGAUCCAUAGCUGGUGGGAGAGGAUGACAAGCCACACUGGGACUGAGACACGGCCCAGACUGCGACGGGAGGCAGCAGUGGGGAAUAUUGGGCAAUGGGCGAAAGUCUGAUCCAGCAAUGCGGCGUGAGUGAUGAAGGCCUUAGGGUUGUAAAGCUCUUUUACCCGGGAUGAUAAUGACAGUACCGGGAGAAUAAGCUCCGGCUAACUCCGUG